AGGGUUUGAUCAUGGCUCAGAACGUACGCUGGCGGCACGCCUAACACAUGCAAGUCGAACGAAGUAGCAAUACUUAGUGGCAGACGGGUGAGUAACAUGUAGGUAUCUGCCCUUUGGCCUGGAAUAACACGAGGAAACUUGUGCUAAUACUGGAUAAGUCUUUACGGAGAAAGCUUUAUGCACCAUUGGAUGAGCCUGCACUUGAUUAGUUUGUUGGUGGGGUAAUGGCCUACCAAGACUUUGAUCAAUAGCUGGUCUGAGAGGAUGAUCAGCCACACUGGGACUGAGACACGGCCCAAACUCCUACGGGAGGCAGCAGUGGGGAAUCUUGCACAAUGGAGGAAACUCUGAUGCAGCGAUGCCGCGUGAGUGAAGAAGGCCUUUGGGUUGUAAAGCUCUUUCGUCGGGGAAGAAAAUGACUGUACCCGAAUAAGAAGGUCCGGCUAACUUCGUGCCAGCAGCCGCGGUAAUACGAAGGGACCUAGCGUAGUUCGGAAUUACUGGGCUUAAAGAGUUCGUAGGUGGUUGAAAAAGUUGGUGGUGAAAUCCCAGAGCUUAACUCUGGAACUGCCAUCAAAACUUUUCAGCUAGAGUUGAUAGAGGAAAGCAGAAUUUCUAGUGUAGAGGUGAAAUUCGUAGAUAUUAGAAAGAAUACCGAUUGCGAAGGCAGCUUUCUGGAUCAUUACUGACACUGAGGAACGAAAGCAUGGGUAGCGAAGAGGAUUAGAUACCCUCGUAGUCCAUGCCGUAAACGAUGUGUGUUAGACGUUGGAAAUUUAUUUUCAGUGUCGCAGCGAAAGCGAUAAACACACCGCCUGGGGAGUACGACCGCAAGGUUAAAACUCAAAUGAAUUGACGGGGACCCGCACAAGUAGUGGAGCAUGUGGUUUAAUUCGAAGAUACGCGCAGAACCUUACCAACACUUGACAUGUUCGUCGCGACUUUAAGAGAUUAAAGUUUUCGGUUCGGCCGGACGAAACACAGGUGCUGCAUGGCUGUCGUCAGCUCGUGUCGUGAGAUGUUGGGUUAAGUCCCGCAACGAGCGCAACCCUCACUUUUAGUUGCCAUCAUUAAGUUGGGCACUCUGAAAGAACUGCCAGUGAUAAGCUGGAGGAAGGUGGGGAUGACGUCAAGUCCUCAUGGCCCUUACGUGUUGGGCUACACACGUGCUACAAUGGUAUCUACAACAGGAAGCAAGACGGCGACGUUAAGCAAAUCCUUAAAAGAUACCUCAGUUCGGAUUGUACUCUGCAACUCGAGUACAUGAAGCUGGAAUUACUAGUAAUCGUGGAUCAGCGUGCCACGGUGAAUGCGUUCCCGGGUCUUGUACACACCGCCCGUCACACCAUGGGAGUUGGUUCUACCUUAAGGCAAGGUUUAAAACCCUUGACCACGGUAUAGUCAGCGACUGGGGUGAAGUCGUAACAAGGUAACCGUA
rnacentral:rRNA from 1 species